GACGAACGCUGGCGGCGUGCUUAACACAUGCAAGUCGAACGGAAAGGCCUGUCCUUCCUUGUGUUGGACGGGUACUCGAGUGGCGAGCGGGUGAGUAACACGUGAGUGAUCUGCCCCCAACUUGGGUAUAAGCCUGGGAAACUGGGUCUAAUUCCCGAUAGGACUGCAGGGUGGUGCCUGUGGUGGAAAACGAUUUUCUAGUGGUUGGGGAUGAGCUCGCGGCCUAUCAGCUUGUUGGUGGGGUAAUGGCCUACCAAGGCGGCGACGGGUAGCCGGCCUGGGAGGGUGGACGGCCACAUUGGGACUGAGAUACGGCCCAGACUCCUACGGGAGGCAGCAGUGGGGAAUAAUGCACAAUGGGCGGAAGCCUGAUGCAGCGACGCCGCGUGGGGGAUGACGGCCUUCGGGUUGUAAACUCCUUUCGACCGCGAGGAAGCCGCCUGGUUGGAAGGGUGGUGACGGUAGUGGUAGAAGAAGCACCGGCUAACUACGUG
rnacentral:rRNA from 1 species